rnacentral:lncRNA from 1 species
AAUCAAAAUUUUAAAUUAAAUUUAAAAUUUAAAUUUAAAUUUUAAGUCUAAAAUUAGAAUCAGAUUUUAGCAAAGAUAAAAUUGCUUCAGUUUCUAAGUCUAUAUCCCGUAAUCUAUAUAUAUAUAUAUAUAGAGAGAGAGAGAGAGAGAGAGAGAGAGCAGAACUGCUGUGCUUUCCGAGCUCCUGAGCCGUUUUCGAUGAUGGAAUUUCCGAAUCGACGAUUGGCUCCGUUAGACUUGAUCUAGCGUAUUUGAAGUUUCUAGAAAAUAAUUUUUGCGACUUUUCGAUAUCAUUUACCUAGCAAUCGAAAGGAUUCAAAAUUAAUAAUUUUUAACGGCUGAAAAUAAAAAUUCUAUAAAAAGUGGUGAUAUAGCACUAAAAUUUUCGAUCAGAAAUAUUGAUCUUAUUGUAGAUAGUAUAAAGAAUUUUGUAUCAAAAUUUCAUCUGAUUUGAAUACUUCUACACCGUUAAACUUGAAAACGGCAGAUAUCAACUAUUAAAAAUUAUUAAUUUUGAAUCCUUUUGAUCACUAGGUAAAUGAUAUAAAAAAAUCGCAAAAAUUAUUUUCUACAAACUUCAAAUACCCUAGAUCAAGUCUAACGGAGCCGAUCGUCGAUUUGAAAAUUCCAUCAUCGAAAACGGCUCAGGAGCACGGAUUCAAAAUUAAUAAUUUUUAAUGGUUGAUAUCUGCCAUUUUCAAGUUUAACGGUGUAGAAGUAUUCAAAUCAAAUGAAAUUUUGAUACAAAAUUCUUUAUACUAUCUACAACAAGAUCAAUAUUUCUGAUCGAAAAUUUUAGUGCUAUAUCACCACUUUUUAUAGGAUUUUUAUUUUCAGCCGUUA